rnacentral:rRNA from 1 species
AGAGUUUGAUCCUGGCUCAGGAUGAACGCUGGCGGCGUGCUUAACACAUGCAAGUCGAACGAGCGGAGGUCCUUCGGGACCAAUGCGAGUGGCGGACGGGUGAGUAACGCGUGGGUAACCUGCCUAUGUCACCGGGAUACCGAUUGGAAACGAUCGCUAAUACCGGAUAACCCGCUAGUACCGCAUGGUACAGACGGAAAAGCGCAUACGGACAUAGAUGGACCCGCGUCUGAUUAGCUAGUUGGUGGGGUAACGGCCUACCAAGGCGACGAUCAGUAGCCGAACUGAGAGGUUGACCGGCCACAUUGGGACUGAGACACGGCCCAAACUCCUACGGGAGGCAGCAGUGGGGAAUAUUGCACAAUGGUGGAAACCCUGAUGCAGCAACGCCGCGUGAGUGAUGAAGUAUUUCGGUAUGUAAAGCUCUAUCAGCAGGGGAGAUAAUGACGGUACCUGCAUAAGAAGCCCCGGCUAACUACGUGCCAGCAGCCGCGGUAAUACGUAGGGGGCAAGCGUUAUCCGGAUUUACUGGGUGUAAAGGGAGCGUAGGUGGCGUGGCAAGUCAGAAGUGAAAGCCCGGGGCUUAACCCCGGGACUGCUUUUGAAACUGUCGUGCUAGAGUGCAGGAGGGGUAAGCGGAAUUCCUAGUGUAGCGGUGAAAUGCGUAGAUAUUAGGAAGAACACCGGUGGCGAAGGCGGCUUACUGGACUGUAACUGACACUGAGGCUCGAAAGCGUGGGGAGCAAACAGGAUUAGAGACCCUGGUAGUCCCACGCCGUAAAACGAUGAAUACUAGAUGUUGGCGGGCAUAGCCCGUCGGUGUGGAAGUUAACGCAUUUAAGUAUUCCACCUGGGGGAGGUACGUUCGCAAGAAUGAAACUCAAAGGAAUUGACGGGGACCCGCACAAGCGGUGGAGCAUGUGGUUUAAUUCGAAGCAACGCGAAGAACCUUACCAGAUCUUGACAUCCUCCUGACGUAUCUUGUAAUGAGAUAUUCCCUUCGGGGCAGGAGUGACAGGUGGUGCAUGGUUGUCGUCAGCUCGUGUCGUGAGAUGUUGGGUUAAGUCCCGCAACGAGCGCAACCCUUGUCUUUAGUUGCCAUCAGGUUAAGCUGGGCACUCUAGAGAGACUGCCGGGGACAACUCGGAGGAAGGUGGGGAUGACGUCAAAUCAUCAUGCCCCUUAUGUUCUGGGCUACACACGUGCUACAAUGGCCAGUACAGAGAGAUGCAAUACUGUGAAGUGGAGCGAAACUCUAAAGCUGGUCCCAGUUCGGAUUGUAGGCUGCAACUCGCCUACAUGAAGUCGGAGUUGCUAGUAAUCGCGGAUCAGCACGCCGCGGUGAAUGCGUUCCCGGGUCUUGCACACACCGCCCGUCA